AGUCUUCUCAGCAGGCUGUGUUCUUACACUGACUGUAUGGAAAGAGGAGGCAGAGAAAACCUCCAUCAUAUACACCUCAGCCUGGAUUCUGUGUCUUUUCUGUUUUGUGAAUGGGGGGAUGUGA
rfam:Tupaia chinensis contig90999, whole genome shotgun sequence.